GGGGCCGGCGGCGAAGAAAAACAAGUAUUAGCCAACAACAUAACACUAUGGGGGACCUCAAAACUUUUUGGGGCUCCCUUCUAGGUUCUGCACCUUGGUAAGUUUACAUUGCAUCUUAAGAUCUGCAACUUUAUUGGACUAAAAUCCCAAUAUAUCUGAUGGCUGUGUAUGUAAAAAAUAAAGGGCAAUUGCUUAUGAUAUGGUUGCUGGUGAUUAGUGCUGUUUGGAAAGUUACUGAUGUCGAACCAAUAGUUCAAAUAGAGAAGAGGAGAAAUGAAUUCUCAAAGCUUUGUUAAUUCUCAAUAUCAAUUGUAGUCAUAGAAAAAGGUCUACCAACCAGGUAUAUAUAGUAUAAUUGUUAACCCUACUACUUACUAGGAUUAGGAAUAAGAAAAUCCUAAACCAACACUAAUUAGAAAUCCCAAAUUAACACAAAUUUAAAAUGUUACUUCCUAUAUUUCUUCCUAAAAUAA
rnacentral:misc_RNA from 1 species